GCCUUUCAGCCCUCUUGCUUUAGUUUGUUGAUCCCCGACUAAAUCUCAUUGGAAAACAAGCUAGAAAACAUGGAAGGAGUGAAGAGUUUGAUCAUGUGUAUGCUAGUGCUAGGCUUAGUCCUGCAACAAGAGAAGAUCCAGGUGGAAGCAAAGAGUUGUUGCCCAUCCACCACAGCAAGAAACGUCUAUAACUCAUGCCGUUUCGCGGGUGGCUCAAGAGACACCUGUGCUAAACUUUCUGGCUGCAAAAUUGUUGAUGGGAAUUGCAAGCCUCCUUACGUUCACCAUACCCUUCACCCUGAAGCUGAGGAAUCGGAGGUACUUGACUUCUGCAAGCUGGGAUGUGCUUCGUCUGUGUGCAGCACCAUGAGCACUCUUUCUAGCAAUGAAGAAGCGAAUUAUGCCGUCGAUCGUUGCAACGAUGCAUGCCACCGCUUCUGUACCAAGGAAGCUGAGACUGUCACCGUUGUUUCCUAAGCAAGUGCAACAUGCA